UGUGAAGGAAAUGCUGUCUUGCCAGAUGGUGUGACAACCCACACCUGCAGAAGAGAUAUCGAAGUUAGAGAAAAUGGUAUGACUGACAAUGAUGAAAUGAAAAUUACAGGUAAGUUGGACGUGCAGGAUACUUCUUCUGAGAAGAUAAUACAGGAUUUUCAACUUGAAACUUGUUCAGCUAGUAGUGAUGGAGUCUUGCCAGAGAGUGCAGCAAACUAUACUUGCAGAACAGAUUCUGAAGUCACUCUUUCUGCUAAUUCUUCCUUGGCGGAUGUUACACUUUCAAAGGAUGAGACUUUCACUGGUUCAAAUGUUCAGCAGCUUGGGAUCUCAGGUAGCUUCCACACAGAUUCUCGUGAUCAAAAUGGCGCAGAUGGUGUAGCCUUGGUUGAGGCACGAGUUAAUAACAAUCCAACUGACAAAGAACAAUUUAGGGAGAUGAGAUAUUGUUCUACUGCCUUAGCUGGUGGAUCAUCCAACAGUGAGCAUAGCAAUCCUAUGGAAGUGGAUGAUGAGUAUUUUUUAAUUGCUGAGAAGGUGCCAAGCAAAGAUGUUACAGAGGGAGAACCGGAACACGCUGGUGAUAGUGCUGGACUAAGUCAUCAGAUCCUGGGUGGAUCUUUGUCAGGGAAAAUGAAACGUAAGACAUCUUAUCGGCCUUCUUUGUUUCCUUUCAAACGCUUGUUGACUCGUAGGCCUUCCACUUUCAGAGGCUGAAAUUGAA
rnacentral:misc_RNA from 1 species